rnacentral:rRNA from 1 species
UACAGAGGUCUCAAGCGUUGUUCGGAUUCAUUGGGCGUAAAGGGUGCGUAGGUGGCGCCGUAAGUCGGGUGUGAAAUUUCGGAGCUUAACUCCGAAACUGCAUUCGAUACUGCCGUGCUUGAGGACUGGAGAGGAGACUGGAAUUUACGGUGUAGCGGUGAAAUGCGCAGAUAUCAGGAGGAACACCAAUGGCGAAGGCAGCUCGCUGGGACGUGACUGACGCUGAGACGCGAAAGCGUGGGGAGCAAACAGG